rnacentral:rRNA from 1 species
UGCGAACUCCUACGGGAGGCAGCAGUGGGGAAUAUUGGACAAUGGGCGAAAGCCUGAUCCAGCAAUGCCGCGUGAGUGAUGAAGGCCUUAGGGUUGUAAAGCUCUUUUACCCGGGAUGAUAAUGACAGUACCGGGAGAAUAAGCCCCGGCUAACUCCGUGCCAGCAGCCGCGGUAAUACGGAGGGGGCUAGCGUUGUUCGGAAUUACUGGGCGUAAAGCGCACGUAGGCGGCUUUGUAAGUUAGAGGUGAAAGCCCAGGGCUCAACCCUGGAAUUGCCUUUAAGACUGCAUCGCUUGAACAUCGGAGAGGUAAGUGGAAUUCCGAGUGUAGAGGUGAAAUUCGUAGAUAUUCGGAAGAACACCAGUGGCGAAGGCGACUUACUGGACGAUUGUUGACGCUGAGGUGCGAAAGCGUGGGGAGCAAACAGGAUUAGAUACCCUAGUAGUCCAGAUG